rnacentral:rRNA from 1 species
GAUGAACGCUGGCGGCGUGCCUAACACAUGCAAGUCGAGCGAGAAAUUUAUGAACGAAACUUCGGUCUAGGGAUUAAAUGGAAAGCGGCGGACGGGUGAGUAACGCGUAGGCAACCUGCACCUUACAGAGGGAUAGCCUCGGGAAACCGGGAUUAAAACCUCAUAACACAUCAUAAACACAUGUUUGAGAUGUCAAAGAUAUAUCGAUAAGGGAUGGGCCUGCGUCUGAUUAGCUAGUUGGUAGGGUAACGGCCUACCAAGGCAACUAGCAGUAGCCGACCGGGGAGUGUAAUCGGCCACAUUGGAACUGUGACACGGUCCAAACUCCUACGGGAGGCAGCAGUGGGGAAUAGUGCGCAAUGGGCGAAAGCCUGACGCAGCCAUGCCGCGUGAAUGAUGAAGGUCUUAGGAUUGUAGAAUUCUUUCACCGGGGACGAUAAUGACGGUACCCGGAGAAGAAGCCCCGGCUAACUUCGUGCCAGCCGCCGCCGUAACAC